UUGAAAAUUGUGUCAUCAAUGGAUGAUCUCGUGCUCUGACUGUGCAUCUUCUGUCCGGACCUUGAUGAAUCUCCCAUGAUCCUGUAGCCUACUCGUCCCUGGGCUUUCGUGCUAUCGAUUGUGGCAUUGAGGAGUCCAACGCUGGACACUGGCAGGAGACUCAUCACAUCGCGGUUGAUUAUCUCAUACUCGCAGUCCAAGGAGAGAGCUCCAAAGUCUACUGACAGGACGAGGAUAUCCUGCAGCAUAUCAGCCUUGAUGGAUGUCAGUCUUGGGAAUUCACUCUUUAUGGUACGGAGGUUUUUAAUCAUCCUGAAAACGAAAAGGGAUGAAAUUAUAAAAAAUGUCGCAUAAAAUUUAUUGAAGGAAUUUUCAGGACGAAUUUCGAAUUUUUCGGAGGAACUUAUGUUAAUCGAUCUUAUUUUUCUCUGAUUCUCAAAAACGUUCUUUCAGUUGGACCCUAGCUCACGGGCUCUUUCACAUUUGUCGUCUUAAACCUAAUGGAUCUCAUAAGGACUUCAGAUAUUUCAGCUAUUCCCUGAUUAACAGACCUAGCCGAUUUUUAAGAUGCAACCGAUAUUUGUGUCUGUCAGCAUCCCCUAAACGCAACCUGUGGUUAAAGGUAAAUGAAUUCCAGUGUGAUAAGGCCUUACUUACCUUCAGUUAUGCUCUGUAAUUCUGAGGUCUGGAGUUCGAGACUCGGCGUUGGCGGCUGGAGCAAAAAAAAAAGGAAAACGAUGGCACAAUGAUCUAAAAUCAAUACCAAAAUGUACUUAAAUUGAGAAGUAUCUGAUAUAAAAUAAAGAAAAGGAAAAAAGAGAAUAAAAAAAAUAAGGAGGGGAAAGAAUAAAAAAAAAAGAAAAGAAGAAAAAAAGAAAAGUAGAAGAAAAAAAGGAAAAGAAGAAGAAAAAAGGGAAAAGAAAAAAAGAAAAGAAGAAAAAAGGGGAAAGAAGAAAAAAAAAGAAAAGAAAAUUAAAAAAAAGAAAAAAGUGAUGCCACAAUGCUCUAAAAUUGAUACCACGAUGCUCUAAAAUUGAUACCACGGUGCUCUUAAAUUGAUACCACGAUGCUCUGAAAAUCAAUGCACCAGUGUCCUAAAAUUAAUACCACAGUGUAUUGGAAAGUUACUAAAAAGUAAUACAUUUAUGGCAUUGUUUUAAUGCCAUAGAGUUACUUGAUUUUGAUGCCAAGAAUGCACUAAAAUCAAUCACAAAAGGUAUAGGAGCCUUUUUGAUGCCAUAAAUAGUGCAAAAAUGCAUUGAUUUUAGUGCAUUUUUUCUCUCUGUGUGGUGACCAUAAUUAUCUUAUGCCUCCAGGCUUAUAGAGACUUAGUAUCUGGACUGGAAUAUACGCUUCAGGGUAAAAAAAUGCUGAUGAGGAUUGUUAAAGACGCAGUUGAAGGCAGCGGAACCCCUUCUGGCUUUUGAAAGUACGAGUAAUCGAAUAUACUGCUGACUUUAAUCUUGAGUUCUUCCGGACUCUAGAUUGAGUGCGUCCCAGGUAAGGAAUAGAAGACAGUCGUGGUUGGUUUCUUUCAAAAUAUUUAUAGGUACAUAUAUGCAUUUUAUGUCUACGAAGACGUCAUUGAAUACUCAAUCGUAAACCUUUGUAAAAUUCCUGUAUUUUAGAGCCUAAACAGACUCAGGCUGGCCCUCGAGAAUAUUUAGCCUGUAAAAUUUGUCAGUAAAGAUUUAUCCCAUAUUGGAGAACUUAGUAACAUCAAGUAGAAGUCCUUUGCAUAAAUUUCCCUUACCUAAUCCUUUGCUGCCAAAUUUUACAGGCUAAAUAUUCUCGAGGAUCAGCCUGAGUCCAUUUGAACCCUUGUAGAGACAUAAGAAUAGACAUGUGACCUGAGGCUUGUAACUUACUUCACAGUAUUACUGCUCGCAAAAACACAAAAAUAAAUUCUGGAUGGUUCAAUAAAUUCACCGGCAAUGACCAGUAUGAAAAGAUUGACCAGUUCCUGAUUCCAGCGUUGUUGGGUUAAGGUUGAGGUGAGCACUAGAGUGAUGAACGAGAAUUUGAAAGGCUACCAGCAUCACCGAACCAACAAUGACAACAACAAAUUGGCUACAUGGAAUAUCGCUUUGCUAUUAUUAAUUAUAACGAAUUCUUUGUUAUAUCGUAACCAUGUUACAAUACCAAUAACAAUACAUGUUAAACCAAUUUUACCUUGCGGCCAUCGUCGUCUUUGCGUUGAUGAUCAACCUCCAGGAUAAAACAGAAUUUUUGGAGAUGCAGCAGACAUUUGGUAAGUCAAAUAAAAACACCCUUUCAUAGAACGGUUUUUAGACUAAAGGUUUAGCAGAGUGCUCGAGGGUUUCAAAAUGCAGAAUAACAAGCAAUGGCAUUGACUUUUCAGAAUCUAAUAAAGCGAUAUGGAUAAAUUUUAGCUCUGAAGCCCAUUUAAGGUUUAUAAUCGCAUUUAUUCCAUUUAUUUAUCCUCCAAAAAUUUUGAUCAGUAAUAAGGGUGUGACCAGUAUUUCAGUAAGGGAAUUGGGGCGGGCAAAUUUAAAAAAUUUGUUUUCGUCAUGAAAUGUGGUACAAUGUUUAGAAACUUAGCAAGCUAUUUAUCGUCUUUGUUUUUACUAAAAUUAGUUUUAAUACGUUUAAAAAUGAAUUGAUAUGUAUAGAGGUGAAUUUGACUCUUAUUUUGGACAACUUGACUGUAAAUAUGGACACAGCUAAUCCGCCUCAACAGGAUGCCAAUUGUUCUUCAUUUCAUGAACCAAUCUUACC